UAAGUUAAUAAGGGCGCACGGUGGAUGCCUUGGCACUAGGAGCCGACGAAGGACGUGACAAACGACGAUAUGCCUUGGGUAGCUGUAAGUAAGCGAUGAUCCAGGGAUUUCCGAAUGGGGGAACCCAACAGGUAAUACCUGUUACCUACAUCUGUUAAGGAUGUGAGGAGGAAGACGCAGUGAACUGAAACAUCUAAGUAGCUGCAGGAAGAGAAAGCAAAAGCGAUUGCCUUAGUAGCGGCGAGCGAAACGGCAGAAGGGCAAACCGAAGAGUUUACUCUUCGGGGUUGUAGGACUGCAAUGUGGACUCAAAGAUUAUAGAAGAAUGAUUUGGGAAGAUCAGCCAAAGAGAGUAAUAGCCUCGUAUUUAAAAUAGUCUUUGUACUUAGCAGUAUCCUGAGUACGGCGGGACACGUGAAAUCCCGUCGGAAUCUGGGAGGACCAUCUCCCAACCCUAAAUACUCCCUAGUGACCGAUAGUGAACCAGUACCGUGAGGGAAAGGUGAAAAGCACCCCGGGAGGGGAGUGAAAUAGAACCUGAAACCGUGUGCCUACAACAAGUUCGAGCCCGUUAAUGGGUGAGAGCGUGCCUUUUGUAGAAUGAACCGGCGAGUUACGUUAUGAUGCGAGGUUAAGUUGAAGAGACGGAGCCGUAGGGAAACCGAGUCUGAAUAGGGCGCCUUAGUAUCAUGACGUAGACCCGAAACCAUGUGACCUACCCAUGAGCAGGUUGAAGGUGCGGUAAGACGCACUGGAGGACCGAACCAGGGCACGUUGUAAAGUGCUUGGAUGACUUGUGGGUAGCGGAGAAAUUCCAAACGAACUUGGAGAUAGCUGGUUCUCUCCGAAAUAGCUUUAGGGCUAGCGUCGACAUUAGAGAUUCUUGGAGGUAGAGCACUGUUUGGGUGAGGGGUCCAUCCCGGAUUACCAAUCUCAGAUAAACUCCGAAUGCCAAUGAAUUAUGGUCGGCAGUCAGACUGCGAGUGCUAAGAUCCGUAGUCGAAAGGGAAACAGCCCAGACCACCAGCUAAGGUCCCAAAAUAAUUGUUAAGUGGAAAAGGAUGUGGGGUUGCACAGACAACUAGGAUGUUAGCUUAGAAGCAGCUAUUCAUUCAAAGAGUGCGUAAUAGCUCACUAGUCGAGUGACCCUGCGCCGAAAAUGUACCGGGGCUAAAACAAUUUACCGAAGCUGUGGAUACCUUUAUAGGUAUGGUAGGAGAGCGUUCUAUGUGUGAUGAAGGUAUACCGUGAGGAGUGCUGGAACGCAUAGAAGUGAGAAUGCCGGUAUGAGUAGCGAAAGACAGGUGAGAAUCCUGUCCACCGUAAGACUAAGGUUUCCAGGGGAAGGCUCGUCCGCCCUGGGUUAGUCGGGACCUAAGGAGAGACCGAAAGGUGUAUCCGAUGGACAACAGGUUGAUAUUCCUGUACUAGAGUAUGUAGUGAUGGAGGGACGCAGUAGGCUAACUAAAGCAGACGAUUGGAAGAGUCUGUCUAAGCAGUGAGGUGUGAAUUGAGUCAAAUGCUUAAUUCUAUAACAUUGAGCUGUGAUGGGGAGCGAAGUUUAGUAGCGAAGUUAGUGACGUCACACUGCCAAGAAAAGCUUCUAGCGUUUAAACAUACUCUACCCGUACCGCAAACCGACACAGGUAGUCGAGGCGAGUAGCCUCAGGUGAGCGAGAGAACUCUCGUUAAGGAACUCGGCAAAAUGACCCCGUAACUUCGGGAGAAGGGGUGCUGACUUUAAGUCAGCCGCAGUGAAUAGGCCCAAGCAACUGUUUAUCAAAAACACAGCUCUCUGCUAAAUCGUAAGAUGAUGUAUAGGGGGUGACGCCUGCCCGGUGCUGGAAGGUUAAGAGGAGUGCUUAGCGUAAGCGAAGGUAUGAAUUGAAGCCCCAGUAAACGGCGGCCGUAACUAUAACGGUCCUAAGGUAGCGAAAUUCCUUGUCGGGUAAGUUCCGACCCGCACGAAAGGCGUAAUGAUUUGGGCACUGUCUCAACGAGAGACUCGGUGAAAUUUUAGUACCUGUGAAGAUGCAGGUUACCCGCGACAGGACGGAAAGACCCCAUGGAGCUUUACUGCAGUUUGAUAUUGAGUGUCUGUACCACAUGUACAGGAUAGGUAGGAGUCUAAGAGAUCGGGACGCCAGUUUCGAAGGAGACGCUGUUGGGAUACUACCCUUGUGUUAUGGCCACUCUAACCCAGAUAGGUGAUCCCUAUCGGAGACAGUGUCUGACGGGCAGUUUGACUGGGGCGGUCGCCUCCUAAAAGGUAACGGAGGCGCCCAAAGGUUCCCUCAGAAUGGUUGGAAAUCAUUCGCAGAGUGUAAAGGUAUAAGGGAGCUUGACUGCGAGAGCUACAACUCGAGCAGGGACGAAAGUCGGGCUUAGUGAUCCGGUGGUUCCGUAUGGAAGGGCCAUCGCUCAACGGAUAAAAGCUACCCUGGGGAUAACAGGCUUAUCUCCCCCAAGAGUUCACAUCGACGGGGAGGUUUGGCACCUCGAUGUCGGCUCGUCGCAUCCUGGGGCUGUAGUCGGUCCCAAGGGUUGGGCUGUUCGCCCAUUAAAGCGGCACGCGAGCUGGGUUCAGAACGUCGUGAGACAGUUCGGUCCCUAUCCGUCGCGGGCGUAGGAAAUUUGAGAGGAUCUGCUCCUAGUACGAGAGGACCAGAGUGGACUUACCGCUGGUGUACCAGUUGUCUUGCCAAAGGCAUCGCUGGGUAGCUAUGUAGGGAAGGGAUAAACGCUGAAAGCAUCUAAGUGUGAAACCCACCUCAAGAUGAGAUUUCCCAUGAUUAUAUAUCAGUAAGAGCCCUGAGAGAUGAUCAGGUAGAUAGGUUAGAAGUGGAAGUGUGGCGACACAUGUAGCGGACUAAUACUAAUAGCUCGAGGACUUAUCCA
rnacentral:rRNA from 1 species